UCCUUUACCCUCUGAAAAUUAGAAAAGAUAACUCUCCCUCAUUAAUAGCCCGUCAACCACCAGGUGCACCAUAGUUUGUCGUCACUUGCCCAACACUCAUCAGCACUCAUCAACAGUCAUCGUCUCUCAUCGCCUCUCUCGUAGUCGGUCACAAUUAGCAAUCAUCAGCAGUCUAUCAUCAGCUUGUUGCAAGCUUACAGCUUCCAUCUUGUCAGUGUCGAAAUCAAAGGUAAAUUCUUUUUAAAUGUAAGAUUGUAGAGACCGUGAGAGAUUGUGAAACCCACGACUCAGUACUUUACAUGAAAUAUAAGAUAUCCAAAUCCUUUAAUAUAAAGCCGCUGGUUAUUUUUCUCUUUAUGUUUGAUUAAAUAAUAGUUUCUAAGUACUAAAUAAACAUCCCACCAUUUACAAAUUGUGGACUUUUAUUUGGUUUUUGAUAAAGAUAAUAACACUUACUAGUUAUCAUCAUGUGAUAUGUCAAGCUUAGUCAGUAAUCUGACUAACAACAUUUUGAAUGUAGCAUCAAUAGGCAUCGCUUGGUCAUUGGAAAAUUAGUGAGAUGAAAUUGAGGUGAAAAAUGCUCUGGGAACUUUUUUUUUUUUUUUUUUAAUGAAUCCUCACUUAAAGUGAGGAGAUUUUAUUGAAACAAAAUAAAAACGACGCUCUGGGAAUUUAAAUGCUUAGAUUAUUCUAUCUAUUAGGCCAGUGAUUUCUUGAGUUUUCACUUACUAUGUGAUGUUUAGUUGAUUUAAGUUUCUCUUCCAAAGAUAAUAAGAUAUUUCAGGUGGGUUCCUAGAACAGUCGUGACAUCUAAUUGAUAUUUAAAUAAUUGAUAAUGUUUGUGGUUGUAUCUGAACUGAUUUACUUUAUCAUUUUCUUCACUUGUUUCUCUUCACAAAAUAGACUAAUUUGUUUCAUCAUUUUCUAUCUGUUGAUGUUUGUUUGGUGGAGGUUAAUAGUUGUUGAUGUAACUCUUGCUGCUUAUGCUGAGGGUUGACGGAGAAAUUGAGAUGGAUCUAUGUAUUAUGUUGUUAUUCAAUAAUUUGUAUUGUAUUUGUUCGCCACUCUUUUUUUUUUUUUAAGACUUAAGUUAUGCUUAGAUUUUGUCCUUUUGACUUGAUUUAAGCAUUUAUUAUUUUCUUAAUUUAAAUUUGCUAAUCCAAACUAUAAUUGUAUCUGAAAUUAUAAUUCAU
rnacentral:lncRNA from 1 species